rnacentral:rRNA from 1 species
AGUGAACGCUGGCGGUAGGCCUAACACAUGCAAGUCGAACGGCAGCACAGUAAGAGCUUGCUCUUACGGGUGGCGAGUGGCGGACGGGUGAGGAAUACAUCGGAAUCUACUUUUUCGUGGGGGAUAACGUAGGGAAACUUACGCUAAUACCGCAUACGACCUACGGGUUAAAGCAGGGGAUCUUCGGACCUUUCGCGAUUGAAUGAGCCGAGGUCGGAUUAGCUAGUUGGCGGGGUAAAGGCCCACCAAGGCGACGAUCCGUAGCUGGUCUGAGAGGAUGAUCAGCCACACUGGAACUGAGACACGGUCCAGACUCCUACGGGAGGCAGCAGUGGGGAAUAUUGGACAAUGGGCGAAAGCCUGAUCCAGCCAUACCGCGUGGGUGAAGAAGGCCUUCGGGUUGUAAAGCCCUUUUGUUGGGAAAGAAAAGCAGCAGGUUAAUACCCCGCUGUUCUGACGGUACCCAAAGAAUAAGCAACGGCUAACUUCGUG